rnacentral:rRNA from 1 species
CGGGAGGCAGCAGUGGGGAAUAUUGCACAAUGGGCGGAAGCCUGAUGCAGCAACGCCGCGUGAGGGAUGACGGCCUUCGGGUUGUAAACCUCUUUUAGCAGGGAAGAAGCGUGAGUGACGGUACCUGCAGAAAAAGCGCCGGCUAACUACGUGCCAGCAGCCGCGGUAAUACGUAGGGCGCAAGCGUUAUCCGGAAUUAUUGGGCGUAAAGAGCUCGUAGGCGGUUUGUCGCGUCUGCUGUGAAAUCCCGAGGCUCAACCUCGGGCCUGCAGUGGGUACGGGCAGACUAGAGUGCGGUAGGGGAGAUUGGAAUUCCUGGUGUAGCGGUGGAAUGCGCAGAUAUCAGGAGGAACACCGAUGGCGAAGGCAGAUCUCUGGGCCGUAACUGACGCUGAGGAGCGAAAGGGUGGGGAGCAAACAGGCUUAGAUACCCUGGUAGUCCACCCCGUAAACGUUGGGAACUAGUUGUGGGGUCCUUUCCACGGAUUCCGUGACGCAGCUAACGCAUUAAGUUCCCCGCCUGGGGAGUACGGCCGCAAGGCUAAAACUCAAAGGAAUUGACGGGGACCCGCACAAGCGGCGGAGCAUGCGGAUUAAUUCGAUGCAACGCGAAGAACCUUACCAAGGCUUGACAUACACGAGAACGGGCCAGAAAUGGUCAACUCUUUGGACACUCG